GGUGGGGUGAUUCAAGUAAUAUUUUGACACUAUCAAUUCAUUUUUUAUGGUUUUAGUAUUUUUCAUAAGUUUGAAUCUUACUUGUUUGAUAAAUGUGCUAAGCCUGGGCGAACUCUUCUCUCUCUUUUGCUGCCGAAGCACCUGUAGCUUUUGGAAACUGGAUAUAAGUGACUACCGUGUGUCAUCAUUCCCGCAACGCACACCGCCUGCAGAGCAGACGUGGCAUCUGUAAAGAUGAUGUUUGCUGCAGGGUUUCAAGAGAUCAAUGCUUCAAGAUUCCCAUUCCAAUAGAAUAAGCCCCAAGGGGGUCGAAUGGAUCGAGUCGUGCCAGACUGCAGCAGAAAGACCUGGGGGGAGGCAUGAGCGAGGCGUCACCUGCUGUCAGAACACGGGACCUCAAAGCCUUUGCUUUUCUCCGUUGGGACGGGGUAAUCCCUGGACAUCUGUCAGGGAGGAGUCCUCCAAGAUGUGCCUGUGGAGAGGAAGAUGCAGAGGCGUGAGGCUGAAAAACUGUUAUAGUCUUUUUAAUGAGACCCAUACAACAAAGUCAACAAAGGAGGGAGCAGCAGGCGCCAGCUGAGCUUUAUCUUGACCUGGCAAAAGGCACCAUGAAAUCUUACAAUUAAAACAAAGAAAAGCAAAGAGCCAUGCUAGAUGGCAGGAAAGCAACUGGGUAUACUACUAGAAGACGUUACGACCAUUAAAUAUCCAAUCAGUGGAAGAAGUCCAAACCAGUAUGGAAUAAAGAACCGGCGUUUCCCAGUCGCAAGUCUAAAGUAGCCAUUCAUCCAUUCAUCCAUUCCCCCAUCCACCUGA